GAUGAACGCUGGCGGCGUGCCUAAUACAUGCAAGUAGAACGCUGAAGGAGGAGCUUGCUCUUCUGGAUGAGUUGCGAACGGGUGAGUAACGCGUAGGUAACCUGCCUGGUAGCGGGGGAUAACUAUUGGAAACGAUAGCUAAUACCGCAUGACAACAGUUAUUGCAUGAUAACUGUUUAAAAGGGGCAACUGCUCCACUACCAGAUGGACCUGCGUUGUAUUAGCUAGUUGGUGAGGUAACGGCUCACCAAGGCGACGAUACAUAGCCGACCUGAGAGGGUGAUCGGCCACACUGGGACUGAGACACGGCCCAGACUCCUACGGGAGGCAGCAGUAGGGAAUCUUCGGCAAUGGACGGAAGGCUGACCGAGCAACGCCGCGUGAGUGAAGAAGGUUGUCGGAUCGUAAAGCUCGGUUGUAAGAGAAGAACGAGUGUGAGAGUGGAAAGUUCACACUGUGACGGUAUCUUACCAGAAAGGGACGGCUAACUACGUG
rnacentral:rRNA from 1 species